rnacentral:rRNA from 1 species
GCCUACGGGAGGCAGCAGUGAGGAACAUUGGUCAAUGGGCGGAAGCCUGAACCAGCCAAGUCGCGUGAGGGAAUAAGGCCCUACGGGUCGUAAACCUCUUUUGCCGGGGAGCAAGGGCGGGGACGUGUCCCGGCCCGGAGAGUACCCGGAGAAAAAGCAUCGGCUAACUCCGUGCCAGCAGCCGCGGUAAUACGGAGGAUGCGAGCGUUAUCCGGAUUUAUUGGGUUUAAAGGGUGCGUAGGCGGACUGUCAAGUCAGCGGUAAAAUACGGGGGCUCAACCUCCGCCCGCCGUUGAAACUGACGG